UAAAAAACUAUUUACCUAAUUAACUUAAGUAAUAGAUUUUUAAACAAUUAGAAAUUUUAAAAUUCCCGUUGUUUUUUUUUUUUUUGAUAAUACAUUCAUAUACACCAUUCUAAAUACAGUGGAACUUCCAUAACUCAAACUUCUAUUAGUCGAAGAUCGCCAAAACUCGAACUUGAAUUGGCAAUAGCGUUUAGAAAUCAAAUUUCAUACAAAUUGCCUUCCAUAACUCGAACUCUUGAACUGUCAAUAGAAGUCAAAUUUCAUACAAAAUUCAUUCAAUAUAUCGAUCUUUUCGACCAGGGAAAAAAAUUUAAAAUUAUAAUAUCGAGGCAGUAUUUUAAAAGAGACUCUCUAUAUCGUAUGGAGGCUAACAAAAAAUAUUAUCUUAUACUUAUACAAAAUUACAGAAUAUGUUUUAUAAAGUUUUAUGUACAUAUGUAUGUACGUUAUGCGAAGUAAAUAAAUAAUAAUGUGUAUAAGUAUAUAUUUUACAGCUUUUUAAAAAUUUUCAUGUUUUAAUGUUUAUUCUGUAACUCGAAGUCUCUCUAACUCGAAGCUUUUUUGUGGAUUAUAGUGAUUCGAGUUAGAGAAGUACCACUGUAACUGUUGAUUUAUUGCUUGCGUUCACGUAUGCAUAUGUACAAACGCUUCUAUGUACAUACAUAAGUAAUACCAAUUCCAAAAUAUGUGAAUUGUUCUAUUCGCUGCACCCAAAGAAGUUGAAGUUGAAGUAAUGUUCACUACAUUUCUGCUUAAUUUUAGGUCAGUUUAAACGACUUGUAGUACUUAAAAUGUUAGCGGUGAGUAGAUAUACUAUACACUCGCUUUUGACUGCUUUUGAAAUGCAGAUUAAAAGUUGUAAAAAUUAAGACUCGAGUGAGCGUUUGGUGAUCUGUAUUGUUAGCCCAAGUAGACUUGCCAAAGUCCUUGACUUGAUUUCAUUCAAAUUAUGUAAAACAAGUAAGGAAGGGCUAAGUUCGGGUGUAACCGAACAUUUUAUAUUCUCGCAAUUUAUUUAUUUAACUUAAUUUAUAUUAUAUAAUACACACAUAUUCGUCAUAUAUGUAUAUGGUAUAAAGUCCAUUGAAAGUUAUGGUCCGAUUUCGGCGAUUUUUAGAAGGGCGAUGCCACACUAUAAAUGCAGUAUUUGUGCAAAGUUCUCUUCAGAUAUCUUCACUAGUACUUACUUUAUAUAUUGUAAAGUAAACGAUUAAAAUUGACUUCACCGUUCUGGUAUAUGGGAAGUAGACGUAGUUGUGAACCGAAGAAACGACUGUAGAGAGGUUGGUUGAUCUAGCUUUAGUAAUGUACGAGAUAUGUACAAAAACCGUAGUUGGUGCGGGUCCAUGUUCCCUUCCCCAAAUAAAAUUGCAUCCAAAUAUGCCCCUUCAUAGUGCGAUCCUUUGUACAAUUUCAUAGCUUUAAAGCAGUGGUUCGAUUUUGCCCAUCUUCGAAAGCAACCUCUAAGAAACCCGUGUACCAAGUCUCAUCAAGAUAUCUCAAUUCUUACUCAAGUUACAGCUUGCACAGACGGACAGUCAUACAGACAUUCGGAUUUGAACUCCACUCGUCACUUUGGUAUAUAUAACUUAACAACUUGGUUGCGAGAGUAUAAAUACAUGUCUGUGCAUAAAUCCGCUCAUAAAAAUGAAUGUACUAUUGAUGAAAGACUAUUGAUCAAUUGCGGGAGGUGUACGCGCACAGAGAAGCAGAAGGACAGCAUUUGUGUAUGUACACAUGAUCACACCUCAUAUCCAGUAUACAAAAUAUACCAGCUGGUAAAGACCUCAGCUAAACCAAUUUAAAAUGUUGAUAUACGUACAUACAAUUUAAUAUUCUCCACAGUCAAACUGAAAUAUAUCGUAGUAAAUCAUGAUUAACUUGAAUUAUCGGAUUCAAAAGAGCUUCAUAUAAUGAAAUUCAUGGACACAUUUUGUAGAGUUCCAAGCAUUCAUCACUGACUCUCUAAGGUCUCUUUAGAAAAAUCUUUAUCGGCCCUUUUUUGUAAGGAUUAAAAAAUUUGUUGUUAUCACUCUUAUUGUGCAAAAGAUAAUGCUACAAAAGAAUUUAGGGCAUGUUUACGCGCAACCACCGAUGUCCGAAAAAUGCUGUAUAUACAUACAUAUGUACAUACGUCAACAAACCAGCGCCCAGUCACAUGGGUGCAACAGCUAGUGUUUAGGUAAGUCAAGCUUUUAGACGGAGUCGCCGCAAAAAUUACAUAUUGUAAUCAGCCAUAGCAACUCACUCAGUGAAUCCUGCUGCACUUUUUCCGACAAGUGAAAUCAAAAUCAAAAUGUGUGUUCUGUGUAGAUUGUGUAUCUUGCGAACGAUCUCAAUAGUUUAGUCUAUAGCAUAAAACAGCACUCGAUGGAGCGAGAGUGUCAACUGAUUUGGUACAUACUCCUCCAUACAUACAUACAUCGUAUGUGCAACGAUGGGGACGAAUUUUCGCAAUUAGUCUUUCAGCUGUCGCACUCGAAAUGCAUUUAGUUUGGCAAUGGGGCUGUCAUGGGUGCAGUAUUUGUAGUACCCUUUUCUUAGUCGCAGUAUACAUAUCUCUUAGAUGCAUAGCACAUAGUACAUGCGAUAUAUACGAGUAUACCUAUAGAUAGUAACAGGAAUGUGUAUUGCGAUGAAUUGAAUAUAUGCUUUCACAAUAUCAAGUACCUCUGCGCAGUAGUUGAUUAUUACUCGUACCAGACAAAACUUCUUAAACACUUGGAUAUUUUUUUGGUUUCGGAAAAAUGCAUGAAAUCAAUUUCUAACAUGUAUGUGAUAUUUUUACCAUUGAGUAUGAGACCAAUGUCCACCAUGUGUCACCUGAAAAAUAAAAAGGACCGGGCAGCAAUAUUCGGCAAUAUGAUAAUCGGUGAUGUUUGUGCAUGUGACCAUCAAUCAAAAUUCGGAUAUAAUAUGCACUCGUACAUACAUAUGUAAGAAAUAUGUACAUACUUAUAUGUAUAAUCCUUAA